rnacentral:rRNA from 1 species
UUUAGUGACUGAGCGGCGGACGGGUGAGUAACGCGUGGGUAACCUGCCUCAUACAGGGGGAUAACAGUUAGAAAUGACUGCUAAUACCGCAUAAGACCACAGGGCCGCGUGGCCCGGUGGUAAAAACUCCGGUGGUAUGAGAUGGACCCGCGUCUGAUUAGCUGGUUGGCGGGGUAACGGCCCACCAAGGCAACGAUCAGUAGCCGGCCUGAGAGGGUGAACGGCCACAUUGGGACUGAGACACGGCCCAAACUCCUACGGAAGGCAGCAG